UUUCGAAACCAUUUUCCAGAAAUUCAUUUGGGGAGACCGCUCCUCUCACUCCUCCAUCUAUCUCCCCGAUUCACACCUCCCUUCCCCUCUAAUUCAAUUUCGCUCUCCAGCUCUCCUCCGUGUCGCCGCCGGAACGGCUGUUUUCUCGCCUCCCCUUCUGGCUGGUCUUCGUUUAUUCGGUUCUUGUUGCGCUAUUGUUGUUGGUGAUGCUUCGCUUUCUCUCUCUCGUUUUCGUUCCCAGUACAGCCGACGAUGGUGGUCUCGAAUUUUCGUCUUCAACAACCCACCACUGAAUUAGGUGAUGAUGCCUUGGUUGUUGAUUGAUGUUUCCAUGCCUCCACAAUCACAUAUCCGCUUCUUAUUCUCCUCCUCGUCGGAGCAAUCACUGUUGCUGUUGCAGUUGUUGUUGCUCGACAAGGUUCUUUUUUCGGCUACUCUACAAGUUGGGAGAUACAUUGUGACAAUGAUGAGCACGGGUGUUGUUCUACUUACUAGAGUUCAAUUAUCAGGUGGUGAGAUGAAUGACUUGAUCUGGUAUAGUUGGCUUGGAGGGGUCAUAAUUGGGACUAUGGUAGGGGAAACAUGGUUAUGGAUGAUCAUAGCCGAGGUGGUCCAAGGAAUGUUGUAAUAACUGGGAGGCUGCUCAACAAGUUGGGAGAUACAUUGUGACAAUGAUGAGCACGGGUGUUGUUCUACUUACUGGAUUGCAAUUGCCACUGUACAUGCUUCCAUUAUGUCUGAAAAAGUUUCUGGUGCACGGACAAGAGAUCUAUGUUGCUCAGUUUAGGUGACAUCAUUUGAAAAAAAAAAAUAAGAGUUGCUGCUAUAUUGUGUUACACACUGAUAAUGUGUUGUCUCGCUUCUUCGCUGCUGCUGUCUCACUGCUACACUGCUGUUGUCUCGCUGCGACACUGCUGUUGUCUUGCUGCUACACUGCUGCUGUCUCGCUACCAAUCUAGCGAAAUUUAACCAUGCACGAAAGCUAUCAGAAGUUGUAGAAAUAUCCGAAUAUACCAAUCAGGCAUCUUCCAAGACAUGUUAUUUUUGCGAUUUUUGUUAGUUUUGGGCUUGCGGGUUGUUGCAAGCCCUAAAGUGUUUUUUUGGUUGAGAUUGAACAACAAUUGUUUCUCAUUUGGUUAAUAAUAUUACUUGUAGUUGAUAAAUUUUCGAUUCCUAUGAAAUUUGGUGUUUACUUUUGUUAUCUUA